UACGUAGGUGACAAGCGUUGUCCGGAUUUACUGGGCGUAAAGAGCGCGCAGGCGGUCGAUCAAGUCGAGUGUGAAAGCCCCCGGCUCAACUGGGGAGGGUCAUUCGAUACUGAUCGACUCGAAGGCAGGAGAGGGUAGUGGAAUUCCCGGUGUAGUGGUGAAAUUCGUAGAUAUUGGGAAGAACACCGGUGGCGAAGGCGGCCAUCUGGACCGAUACUGACGCUGAGGCGCGAAAGCGUGGGGAGCAAACAGG
rnacentral:rRNA from 1 species